GACGAACGCUGGCGGCGUGCUUAACACAUGCAAGUCGAGCGGAAAGGCCCUGCUUGCAGGGUACUCGAGUGGCGAACGGGUGAGUAACACGUGGGUUAUCUGCCCUGCACUUCGGGAUAAGCCUGGUAAACUGGGUCUAAUACCGGAUAGGAGCCAUUUUUAGUGUGAUGGUUGGAAAGUUUUUUCGGUGUAGGAUGAGCUCGCGGCCUAUCAGCUUGUUGGUGGGGUAAUGGCCUACCAAGGCGGCGACGGGUAGCCGGCCUGGGAGGGUGGACAGCCACCUUGGGACUGAGGUACGGCCCAGACUCCUACGGGAGGCAGCAGUGGGGAAUAUUGAACAAUGGGCGCCAGCCUGAUGCAGCGACGCCGCGUGGGGGAUGACGGCCUUCGGGUUGUAAACUCCUUUCGCUAGGGACGAAGCUUUUUGUGACGGUACCUAGAUAAGAAGCACCGGCUAACUACGUG
rnacentral:rRNA from 1 species